UGGGGUGUAGCCAAGUGGUAAGGCAACGGGUUUUGAUCCCGUCAUGCGGAGGUUCGAAUCCUCCCACCCCAGCCA
rnacentral:tRNA from 1 species